rnacentral:rRNA from 1 species
GGUAGUCCACGCCGUAAACGAUGGCCACUAGAUGUGGGGGGUAUCGACCCCCUCCGCGUCGUCGCUAACGCAGUAAGUGGCCCGCCUGGGGAGUACGGCCGCAAGGCUAAAACUCAAAGGAAUUGACGGGGGCCCGCACAAGCAGCGGAGCGUGUGGUUUAAUUCGAUGCAACGCGAAGAACCUUACCUGGGUUAAAUCUGUGUCGACCGCCGGUGAAAGCCGGUUUCCCUUCGGGGCGGCAUGGACGGUGCUGCACGGCUGUCGUCAGCUCGUGCCGUGAGGUGUUGGGUUAAG